UCUCCGUUGGUGAACCAGCGGAGGGAUCAUUACAGAGUUGCAAAACUCCCAAACCAUUGUGAACGUUACCUAUCCCGUUGCUUCGGCGGGCGGCCCGGGCCCCGCGCCCGGCGCCCCCCGGCCCCCCGUGGGCGCCCGCCGGAGGUAAACCAAACCCUUGAAUUGCAUGGUCUCUCUGAGUCUUCUGUACUGAAUAAGUCAAAACUUUCAACAACGGAUCUCUUGGUUCUG
rnacentral:misc_RNA from 1 species